ACAGUUGUACAGAAUAAAACACGUGCACGAAUUUCGCAACUGGCACUCAUAAAUUCCAUAGCGCACCGAAUUAUUUCUGCCCUGAAUAAUUUUAUACGCAUUUUAAAAUAUCUAUUCACAACGAACGUGGGAUUUAUGAUGGCGAAACCCGUUCGAAGGGUGGUCCGCCCUUUGAGAGCCGAAGGGAGACGUCGAGGGGCCCGACCACAGACGUCCAGUGCUGGACAUAAGCUCCUCCCAAGACUCGCCACGUCACAGGAGUCGUCUAACGUUGCCUGCAUGAAGAACUAUCGCCAUCAAAAUCUAUAACGGCCCGGCGACCUGACCGUCAGCCGCAUCUAUAAAUCAAAAUGCCCGUGCUCCGUGAUUAAUCAAACAAGCCGUACCUUUCUGUUUAUUUCACACCUAUGCGAAACAG